rnacentral:rRNA from 1 species
CAGCCGCCACGGUAAUACGUAGGUGGCAAGCGUUGUCCGGAAUUAUUGGGCGUAAAGGGCUCGCAGGCGGUUUCUUAAGUCUGAUGUGAAAGCCCCCGGCUCAACCGGGGAGGGUCAUUGGAAACUGGGAAACUUGAGUGCAGAAGAGGAGAGUGGAAUUCCACGUGUAGCGGUGAAAUGCGUAGAGAUGUGGAGGAACACCAGUGACGAAGGCGACUCUCUGGUCUGUAACUGACGCUGAGGAGCGAAAGCGUGGGGAGCGAACAGGAUUAGAUACCCCCGUAGUCCCUGUCUCUUAUAA